CUGCUCCCUUUGGGCUAAAACAUCUCUGACAGGUGAAAAUUGCGGCGUCCCGAAGGGGAUUAGCGCAGCAUUAACUUACUUGUCAAAUACAAAUGUCAGGUUAAUUUUGUUCCUAGCUCGAUAUUCAAGAAAUACACGCUUUUCUUCCGAGAUCACUAGAAAGGUUCCUCUGUGCAUAUUUUAAUUACAGUGGCAAUGGAUCUAUCUGUAUCCUGGAGUGCAUGUGUGUCUAGGAGAUUCUCUUAAAUAAAUAUCUUGUAUUCAACACCUUAUUUACAGAAUUUAAGGCUUGCAAGAACCACGUCAGUUCCGAGACUACCUGUAUAGAAAACGCAGGCCAGAAAACGUCACCAACGAAUUUUUCUCUAAGUAGAUCGAGUGCUGAAAACUUCGCAGACACACUGCCGCUGCCUGGAAGCUAAUGAUAAGGGAAGAGUCUUGUUUGCAGCCCAGUAUUGCUCGUCAGGCCAGGAACCUGGCAUCUUCUUUGUGACCUACAGCUCCUCACAUCCAGGACGUGUCCAGAUCCUGCCAGUUAUUUCUGCAGAACACCUCCCGGAUCCUCGUUCGAGCCGUCCUCAUCCCAUAUCUCGAUUACUGAAGCACCCUGCCUUUAUUCGGGCCCCUUACGAAGACCAUUUUUCCCUCUCCAUCACCUGAACCGUCUCAAAGCUCUUGGGGUGAAAGGGUGUUACUCAAAUCCAGAUUUUCCCCAAGGCUCCUGGAUUCAUUCCUUGGUUGCUAUGACUGAAGUGUGGGAAUUAAGGUACAUCCUUAUAGCCGAACAAGACUGACAUCAUUAGGAUUUCAGACUUUUCUGCUACUGGCAAAACAAUGUACAUUUGAUUUUAACUUCAUUCCAGCUAUAACAUUUGUAGAGAAAGAUUUUCA
rnacentral:lncRNA from 1 species